GGUGAAGCCAAGCUUGCUUGGUGGAUCAGUGGCGAACGGGUGAGUAACACGUGAGCAACCUGCCCUGGACUCUGGGAUAAGCGCUGGAAACGGCGUCUAAUACUGGAUAUGAGCUCUCAUCGCAUGGUGGGGGUUGGAAAGAUUUUUCGGUCUGGGAUGGGCUCGCGGCCUAUCAGCUUGUUGGUGAGGUAAUGGCUCACCAAGGCGUCGACGGGUAGCCGGCCUGAGAGGGUGACCGGCCACACUGGGACUGAGACACGGCCCAGACUCCUACGGGAGGCAGCAGUGGGGAAUAUUGCACAAUGGGCGGAAGCCUGAUGCAGCAACGCCGCGUGAGGGAUGACGGCCUUCGGGUUGUAAACCUCUUUUAGCAGGGAAGAAGCGAGAGUGACGGUACCUGCAGAAAAAGCGCCGGCUAACUACGUGCCAGCAGCCGCGGUAAUACGUAGGGCGCAAGCGUUAUCCGGAAUUAUUGGGCGUAAAGAGCUCGUAGGCGGUUUGUCGCGUCUGCUGUGAAAUCCCGAGGCUCAACCUCGGGCCUGCAGUGGGUACGGGCAGACUAGAGUGCGGUAGGGGAGAUUGGAAUUCCUGGUGUAGCGGUGGAAUGCGCAGAUAUCAGGAGGAACACCGAUGGCGAAGGCAGAUCUCUGGGCCGUAACUGACGCUGAGGAGCGAAAGGGUGGGGAGCAAACAGGCUUAGAUACCCUGGUAGUCCACCCCGUAAACGUUGGGAACUAGUUGUGGGGACCAUUCCACGGUUUCCGUGACGCAGCUAACGCAUUAAGUUCCCCGCCUGGGGAGUACGGCCGCAAGGCUAAAACUCAAAGGAAUUGACGGGGACCCGCACAAGCGGCGGAGCAUGCGGAUUAAUUCGAUGCAACGCGAAGAACCUUACCAAGGCUUGACAUACACCAGAACACCGUAGAAAUACGGGACUCUUUGGACACUGGUGAACAGGUGGUGCAUGGUUGUCGUCAGCUCGUGUCGUGAGAUGUUGGGUUAAGUCCCGCAACGAGCGCAACCCUCGUUCUAUGUUGCCAGCACGUCAUGGUGGGAACUCAUGGGAUACUGCCGGGGUCAACUCGGAGGAAGGUGGGGAUGACGUCAAAUCAUCAUGCCCCUUAUGUCUUGGGCUUCACGCAUGCUACAAUGGCCGGUACAAAGGGCUGCAAUACCGUGAGGUGGAGCGAAUCCCAAAAAGCCGGUCCCAGUUCGGAUUGAGGUCUGCAACUCGACCUCAUGAAGUCGGAGUCGCUAGUAAUCGCAGAUCAGCAACGCUGCGGUGAAUACGUUCCCGGGUCUUGUACACACCGCCCGUCAAGUCAUGAAAGUCGGUAACACCUGAAGCCGGUGGCCCAACCCUU
rnacentral:rRNA from 2 species